ACGCGACCCCAGGUCAGGCGGGACUACCCGCUGAGUUUAA
rnacentral:rRNA from 1 species